rnacentral:rRNA from 1 species
AACGUAGGACGCAAGCGUUAUCCGGAGUUACUGGGCGUAAAGCGCGGGCAGGCGGCCAACCAAGUCUGAUGUGAAAUCUCUUCGCUCAACGGAGAGAGGCCAUUGGAAACUGGUCGGCUGGAGGGCAGUAGAGGUAGGCGGAAUUCCGGGUGGAGUGGUGAAAUGCGUAGAGAUCGGGAGGAACACCAAUGGCGAAGGCAGCUCGCUGGGACGUUACUGACGCUGAGACGCGAAAGCGUGGGGAGCAAACAGG